GACGAACGCUGGCGGCAGGCUUAACACAUGCAAGUCGAGCGCCCCGCAAGGGGAGCGGCAGACGGGUGAGUAACGCGUGGGAAUCUACCCAUCUCUACGGAAUAACGCAUGGAAACGUGUGCUAAUACCGUAUACGUCCUUCGGGAGAAAGAUUUAUCGGAGAUGGAUGAGCCCGCGUUGGAUUAGCUAGUUGGUGGGGUAAAGGCCUACCAAGGCGACGAUCCAUAGCUGGUCUGAGAGGAUGAUCAGCCACACUGGGACUGAGACACGGCCCAGACGCCUACGGGAGGCAGCAGUGGGGAAUAUUGGACAAUGGGCGCAAGCCUGAUCCAGCCAUGCCGCGUGAGCGAUGAAGGCCCUAGGGUUGUAAAGCUCUUUCACCGGUGAAGAUAAUGACGGUAACCGGAGAAGAAGCCCCGGCUAACUUCGUGCCAGCAGCCGCCGUAAAAC
rnacentral:rRNA from 1 species